UACGGAGGGUGCAAGCGUUAUCCGGAUUCACUGGGCUUAAAGGGUGCGUAGGCGGGCAGGUAAGUCAGUGGUGAAAUCUCCAAGCUUAACUUGGAAACUGCCGUUGAUACUAUCUGUCUUGAAUAUUGUGGAGGUGAGCGGAAUAUGUCAUGUAGCGGUGAAAUGCUUAGAUAUGACAUAGAACACCAAUUGCGAAGGCAGCUCACUACACAAUCAUUGACUCUGAGGCACGAAAGCGUGGGGAGCAAACAGG
rnacentral:rRNA from 1 species